rnacentral:rRNA from 1 species
GAUGAACGCUGGCGGCGUGCCUAAUACAUGCAAGUCGAGCGAACGGACGAGAAGCUUGCUUCUCUGAUGUUAGCGGCGGACGGGUGAGUAACACGUGGAUAACCUACCUAUAAGACUGGGAUAACUUCGGGAAACCGGAGCUAAUACCGGAUAAUAUUUUGAACCGCAUGGUUCAAAAGUGAAGACGGUCUUUCUUUCACCUAUAGAUGGAUCCGCGCUGCAUUAGCUAGUUGGUAAGGUAACGGCUUACCAAGGCAACGAUGCAUAGCCGACCUGAGAGGGUGAUCGGCCACACUGGAACUGAGACACGGUCCAGACUCCUACGGGAGGCAGCAGUAGGGAAUCUUCCGCAAUGGGCGAAAGCCUGACGGAGCAACGCCGCGUGAGUGAUGAAGGUCUUCGGAUCGUAAAACUCUGUUAUUAGGGAAGAACAUAUGUGUAAGUAACUGUGCACAUCUUGACGGUACCCAAUCAGAAAGCCACGGCUAACUACGUG